GUUUCUUAGCAUGGUUUUGAUUGCUAAUUGUUGAAUGCUAGUGCAAAUGUCAGCACUGUUCGGGUUAUCGUUGUUGUCAAUUGUUGAAUACAAGGGCAAGUGUCAAGUAUGUUUGGGUUCUUUCUGGUAAUUUGUGGGGACUCUUAUUCUUUGUUUUGUAGUUUGGGUUUUGGUUUCUUUGACAGUAUUGUAUGGGGUUCUGCAGUUGUCUAAUUGAUGGUGAAUGUGUGGCUAUUAGGCAGUCAAUGCUCUUAAUUGCUUGCUAGGAGUUGAGCAUAGAGUAAAGUAGUGGAGUUAGCUUGGUAUAACUUUAUAGUGAAAUUGCCGGAUGAUUCGGUGUUUCUUUUGUUUGUGAUCUCGAAGCAUAUGUGAUUCAGCUAUAUUCAUCUUAUUAUUACUUAUAAUGUUCUUUACGUUCCCCCUAGUGCCUAUUUUGUGUUUUUUCAAUUCAUAAUCUGUGAGUUAUUACACGUCUUUUAAGUGUCUAUAUGUACACAGUCAUCAUUACAGGCCUGCUAAUUAAUACAGAAGGCUUUUCUAUUUUAUUGCUAUUUAUAAGGGUUACUGACGCCCCCAUUGCUCAAUAUAUAUAUA